ensembl:lncRNA
ACUCAAAGCAGUGCUAUAGUCAUGCAGUCUGUUCAACCACCAAUCUCCUCAGAUAAUGAGGAAGGAGCUGAUCUGCACUAUGCAGCCUUUCAGCACCUCAACCCAACCCAAGCUGGGCCUUCUGCAAAGCAGUCUGAGGACACCGUGACCUACAGCACCAUCAUGCAGUUAUCUGGUGGUGAAGACCAGAACAGCAGCAGACCUGCUGGCAGACCUGUGGACCCCACUGCUUUGUAUGCUACUGUUCAGAAGAAUAACAAGAUACAGAAUUAACAGUCAUUUGGAUACACAUACACACUCACACAAACACUCAAACACACACACACAUACUCAAACACUUACACACA